AGUGGGGGAUAACGUAGCGAAAGUUACGCUAAUACCGCAUAUUCUGUGAGCAGGAAAGAGGGGGAUCGCAAGACCUCUCGCUUUCGGAGCGGCCGAUGUCGGAUUAGCUAGUUGGUGAGGUAAAGGCUCACCAAGGCUACGAUCCGUAGCGGGUCUUAGAGGAUGAUCCGCCACACUGGGACUGAGACACGGCCCAGACUCCUACGGGAGGCAGCAGUGGGGAAUUUUGGACAAUGGGGGCAACCCUGAUCCAGCCAUGCCGCGUGAGUGAAGAAGGCCUUCGGGUUGUAAAGCUCUUUCGGACGGAAAGAAAUCGCACGGGUUAAUACCCUGUGUGGAUGACGGUACCGUAAUAAGAAGCACCGGCUAACUACGUGCCAGCAGCCGCGGUAAUACGUAGGGUGCGAGCGUUAAUCGGAAUUACUGGGCGUAAAGCGUGCGCAGGCGGCUAUACAAGACAGGCGUGAAAUCCCCGGGCUUAACCUGGGAACUGCGUUUGUGACUGUAUGGCUAGAGUACGGCAGAGGGGGGUGGAAUUCCA
rnacentral:rRNA from 1 species